UGCACAAGUGUUUGUUUUCUUGAGUACCUAACUAAAGUUGCCACACACAGCAAAUGAAUAUUGACUUAAGCGCAGCUGCCAAGGCAAGAGCCGUGUGAAGCUGAGGAAUUCCUUUUCCAACCGUUUGCAGGAACAGACAGCACGCAGCAGAUGAUCCCUGGAGGGGUAUGCUCAGCACACACAAACAUGAUGUUUACUGGCUCUGGGAUGGAUCAGGGAGGGAUUUACAGACUCCAAGCUUGGCUGUGCGGCUCAGAGAUCACCCUGCAACAGCUCUUCACGAGGCUUCUUGGUGGGAAGAGCCUCUGCGUAGGUUGGAGGAACUCCAGCUUGGGUAAAACAACACCUGUUCUUGGUGACCUGCUCAAAGCCGUUUCCCAGGGAUGCCAGCAGGGGUAGCUGGGGUUUGGGUUCAGCUGCAGGAUGCGACUGGUGUGAAACUGCACAGCAAAUCCCCAGGCGUGGGGCUCUUGUUCCUGUCAGCCCCUUGCCUCUGGCUUCAUUUUCCCUUGCAGCCCUUUGGCACUCACAUUGCAGCAGAGGGGAAGAUGCUUUUGCAGCCAGGAGCCAGCUCAUCCCUGAGACCGCAGGGAGCCGCAGCCGCAGAUUGAAACCGCAGCUCGCCAGCAAAUGCAAAACAAUGUGCAAACAUGUUUUAAUGUCAGGUUUUUAUUAAAAGUGGACUAAGAGAUUAAGAUGUUCAUCUGCCUUGCAGGGAGCGACUUUAUAAAUCUCAGCUUGCGUGCUCUUGCCAAGCGUUGCUAAUCAGCAGGCUGGAUCCACGUCACGUGUGCACAGUCUGCUUCCUCGUGAAGGCUCUCUUUCUCCAGGCAAUGGGAGAUUGGGCUCAGUGAGACCUCCUGGGGUUUAAUGAGGUUCCCACUGACACAGAGUUAUUGGGUUCUUAUUCCCCUUUUAAGCAUUCUGCUCUACAGGCCUGCUGCAUGUUGGUGUCUCUGCUUUGAGGACUCUGUGUGGAGCAUCACUGGGUCAGCAGGGACCCAUGUCUGGCAUGGGAUCCCCUAUUGGACGCGUUAGAAGGUACUUUGAAUGCCACAGGGAUGGCAGUGAUCACUGCAAAGACCUUUGAAAGCAACUGGCAUGUUAAAAACUCUCUGCCACGCUGAACUGCAGUGGUGGCAGUGAUUUAAGAGCACUGGAAAAUCUUGUCCUUGACCUCUUAAGCUUGUCAUAGCCAUAGGAUUGGAGCAGCUUUGGCGAGAGAUGAUUUGGUUCCUGGCUUUUUUUUCCCCUUCCUCUCUGCUUGUUUUAUGCUCCUAUAAGCAUUCAUCCAGAAAUUCCCCUUUGCUGUGCUGGAUUGAUGGCUCUGGGACAAUCAGCAGUAUUCUGCUGCUGUUAGGAGUUCUAAAGGCAGUAAAGUUGGGUCCUUGAAGUGCUGUCAGUAAUCAUUUUUAUGGUGGUCAGAUUGCUCAUUAGCACACUUGUUUUCAGAUAUUUAAGCUGGAAAGAAAUCUAUAGUCCUUGCAUUUUUAACUUGAUAACCACUCAAUAGAACAAAUAGAGUUGGAAAUUAGAGCAGAGCUGGGCUGGAAGAAAUAGUCCUGAAUGCUCACCUUUUACCCCAAAGGUCUAUGGAGACAAUUGCUUUGAGAACACAGCUUGGGGGAGCACAUGCAUUCCCAGCCUACCGAGAGGUAAUAACAGCUCAGGUUUACAGUGGUGAUUAGCCAGUAGGAUGGGACCUGGAGGUAGUCCUAAAAUAGGUAUAUUGAAAGCUUCUGCUCUGAGUCUGGGUGAAAAACAAGGACUGGAUUGGAGCUGGACAUGAAGCAAAAGAAACAGCCCAAGAAAUCCUAACCGAUGGUUCCCAGAACCUGGAGGCAACUGGGUGGAUUCAGAGCAGUGCUGGAGUGGCUUUUCUUGAAGUCCUAUUUCCCAGGCAGGGCUGUGAAUGGCCCUUGAGCACAUGAUGGGGUCUGGGCAGCUGGUUGGGAACUGCUCUGAGUCCUGGUGCACAGUGUGGGAGGUGUCCUGGGGGGGUCUGCAUUUCAUGCUGGCUGUGGUGGCAGAGAGAGGGAGGAAAGCCAUCGGGAAGAGGAAUGUCGAAGUAGGCAGCUGUAGUGGGAAAAUAAUCCUUCUUUCCUGAAGUAGUGACCCAUCCCUGGACCAUGGCCUUUCUGCCCUACCCGUGAUGUGUUUGGGGGCACCCAUCAGAGAAGCAGCAGCCUGGCGCCUGGUGCUCACCUCCAUCUCCCAGAGCGUUCCCUUCCAUCCCGAGCACAGCUCAGCUGCAGUAUCCCCCACCACACCUUUAGUUUAGGCAAUAAAGCAGCAAAGGGUUGGAGGAUUGGUUGGGAUUUUUUUGUUUCUGUAAAGCAUUUUGGGAUUCAGUGGAAGGCAAGGUGCUGUGCAGAUGUAAGCUCGUUAGAAGGUCAUUAUCAUUAUUCACCUGCUGUGUCUGUCUGUCUCUCUAAAUGGCUUUAGCUGUCAGCCUAUUUAUCCAUGUUCCCCUCUUCCUAUUAUUAUAUGGUAAGACAUUGCCUCUGCUCCUAGCCCCCCUAAGGCCCUCCCUCCCCAUUUCCCAUGCCAACAGCACUGUGCUUUGUCUGAUGGGAGUUCAAGGAGCCCAAAGCCAGACUGCCCCGUCCUCCAUCCAUCCUGUGCUGCUGGGGGAACUGGAGGUGUUCCUGCAGCCCUGGAUGCAAAGAGGGUGCCCAGAGUGUGCUCCCCCCACAGCCAGCCCUCAUCUGUCCCCGUGCAUCCCCUGUGUGCUCCGGUGCUGCUGUGUAGCAGCGUUGAUCAGUGGAGAUAAUUAAUAUGAGGAAGUAGAAAAUUUUGUCUUGGGCUUAUUACAGACUCUAACCCUAUUAGGCAGGCCAUUUGGAGUCCAGGGAGGGCUGUUUCUUUCCAGAAGAGAUUGCAAGUGGAUUGAGUUCCAUUAUGUUCCUAAUUAAAAGGAAUGAAAUAAAAGAAAAAAAUAAAUAAAGAAGGGAAGGAAAAGAAGCGAUGGAGCUUUGUGACACUUUGGGAGGAAAUUAAAGCCUCGUAGGUGUUUUCCACUGAUGCACUCACGUGCACUGCCUUGGUGCUUUCUGCUUCCCUCUUCCAUCGCCAACCCAUAUGCGGAGCCCCAGUUCUCCUGGCCCAAGAGUGGGAGGGCCAGGAUAGGGCCUAAGGGGCAGCAAUGGGGCUGAGCAUCAGGAUGAUGCGAUGGGAGCCGGGCAGGGAUGGAUGCUGGGCAGAGGCAGCGAGCUGCAGGCUGGGAGAGCCGUGGUGCACAGUGGGGUGUGGGUGCAAUGGCUCUGCGAGGGAUUCUACAUCAAGGAGAGAUCCCACAUCAAGGCAGCGCCGUCGGGCUCCCAGGAGCGCUAUCGCUUGCCCAAAGUGCUCGGAGCACUUACUUAUUUUGUAAUGCGGCCCCGCAGCCUGUGAUGUGCCAGACGUGGCGUGUCUAAGAAGCCGGGCUGUUCCUUAUCAGCCUCUCGCACUGUCUCAGAACCCUUCUGCUAAGUGUCUUUUGUCCCCUAAUAAACUGAUAAGCUGCUGGUAAUCCGCUGAUCGCUGAUAGGCAGGGCGGCCCUGCUCUCCCUCCCUGCACAGAUAAGGUGGCUCUUUGCCAGCGGGCAGCGGGUGAUACAGCUCAGCCCGCAGCAGGGAGCGGGUGGGCUUUGGGAGUGUGUGCCCCCCACCCCUGGCUCGUGUGAGGAGAGAGAACAGGACCGGGUUGGACUCUCCUGGGGGUUCUGCAUCACUUGGGCAGGCAGGUCCUGCAUCCGUCCUGCAGAGUGUGGGCGUCAUGUCCUGUUCCCAAAUGUGCAUCCUGGCCCUGCUGUCGGCUGCACAGCGGUGCCAGGCUGGGGCAGGGAGUCCUGUGGCUGCCUGUGCUCCUGGAGGGAGACUGGAAAGAAAGGGAAGGUGGGAGGGAAGAGGAAAAAAGGCAUGCGUUUCCUCCUCUUCCCUCUCUGUUGCAGCACUCUUGCUCUCCGCUGUCAGGAGAUGGGCAGGAGGGAGGAGCGCAGCACCCUUUUGGUGUUAAUUAUCUACGAAGCCAUGCAGCUGUGGUGCACGCAGCUCCGGUGCUGGGGCUGCUGCCACCUUUGCAUCUGCCCUGUGCUGUGCAGGAGUAAAGCCCUCUCCCACUUCCCUGCAUCCAGAGCAGCACAGGGCUGCAAUGCAGCACCGCUUCCCUUGGGCUCCCCAUCCCAGCAAACAGCUGCGAGCCUGCGUGAGCCGUGGGGCUGUGGGACAGCCCAGCUCCAGAGGGGGAUCACUUCCUUCCCAGCACUCACAUCACUGCUAUUUAAUUUGCCAGGCGAUACGGUGGAAGGGAACGAAGUGCUGCAUUUUGUAUUUUUACUUCCUCGUCAACGUUCUCCUUGGGGGAAGCUGAUCUUUGGCCUGUUGCGGCCACGGCCCUUGUUUAGCAGAGUUUGGGCUUGUUCUGACUAUUUCUUGCUGUGGAAAACAACUCAUUAGCACGAGGCAUGCCGGAGCUCUGGAGACUCUCCUAUUUUCCUUCUAUUUUUGCACAGCGCAAGGAUGGUGUGAGCAUCUCUAUCCUGGCACCAGGCAGCAUUUUGGGCUCACCCCCGUGUCCUUCUCCCCUGCUCACGUGUUUUAGUGCUAACACUGCCUACUCUAUAACAUAAACUUUUGGGCUGGGGGCAUAAAAUCCAAAGCAGGAUCCACGUCUCCUCCCCGCCUCCUCCCCCUAAUUGCGUGCAUUUAUGUAUCUGUUUGCUGCUGCUGGAGUGAGCGGGCUCAGCCCUGCAACCUGCUGUGUGUGGGGACUGGAAAUGAGGGAUCAGGAAGAUGCUGACAGCCUGCUUGCGAAGGCUUGAUCAAUCAGUAUGUAAUAGAAAAACGGCUUUGGCUCUACAGGGAGAAGGAAGCAAAGGAUUUGAUUAAAAAGUCAGACUGCGGCUGGUUGGAAGGGACAUCUCUUGGAGGCGGAUGAAUCAUCAGGUAGUUACAGCACAGGGGUUUGGCUUGAGAGCAAAGUGGGGGGAACUGCCUUCCUCCCUCUGCUCGGCAUCCUGAAUUGAUACAGAGCGACCGUGGGGCUCCGCUGCUGCCCGUGAGCUGUUUGGGAUGGAGCAGUGCCAGGUUCCUCGCUCAGGCAGCACCGUGUCUGCCCUGCUGGCAUUUGACAUGGGUGAACAUGCACUAAAUAAUCGGCAGCCUAUCGAUCCGAGGUCACCCAUGCCAAAGCGUGAUCGAUGGGAACAGACAGCUGAGUGGUUCUGUAAUGAAGUGCCUUCACCUUAGUGGAUUUGGGAGAGAGAAAGGGUAUGGGAGAUUAAAUCCUCCUGCCAUCGACAGCUCAUCAAGCAAAAGACGUAUUAGUGAGGAGCAGUCAUGCUUCCUGAGCCCUGAUGGGAGGAACUGAACUGCUGGGAAUUGUUUGUGCUCUUUGGGGGAACAUCAGCCAGGAGUGCAGCCCCACUGCCUCCCAGCACCCCGCUCAUGGCUGCAGCUGGCAGGGGGUGUCCCAGGCAGCAGUAAAGCUUUGAGUGCUUUGGAGGAAUUAGGGAAUCCGGGAGGGGUGCACUCAGGGUACAGUUGGCUUUCUGUGCUGUGAGGGCACAGUGCUGGCUCAUCCCCAGCUGCCACCCACCAGCACCCCCAGGUCCUUUAUGGCAGGGCUGUGCUCCAUCCUUACACCCCCAGCUUGUACUGACACUGCGGGCUGCCACGACCCUUGCACUUGGCUUUGUUGAACCUCACGAGGUUCUCCUCACUGCUUUGCCUGUCUGUGUCUCUCUGGAUGGCAUCCAGAAUUUGCCAUGGCUGCUGCAGCCCUGCUGGACGAAGGGCUGAUGUGGGUCUGACAACCGGCAGCCACCGAUGGGCUGUGGCUGGCAAUGAGGGGCAUCAACUGCAACCUGAUGGCACUGAGGAGCCCUGGAGCUGCUGGGAGUUGUGCCACGCUCCCAGACCCCCCAGCCCUAUGUGCAGAGGAAGGCAAUGGGAGCUGAGGUGGGACCUGGCAGCUGCCACGUGAAGUGUACUGAAGCUGUGGGGUGGAGAAAUGGAAGGCGUGGGGUUGGAUCCUGCAUCUCCAGCCAACCGUGUUGCCUGGCAAGCAGCACAGAAAGUGAAUAACACUUAAACCCGUGCAGGCCUGGGGUGACAGCAGUGCUCCAACAUCUCCUCCACCCAUUUUUCAAGACAAACUUUCCUCCGUGAUCCACACGCAGCUUUAUUGAGCUCUAUUUCCUCCAGUCUAACUACAGAAAGAAAUUGGCAGCAAGCGCUCUCGCGGGCAGCGUGGAACGGCAGCGGCGGCUGUCAGGGCUCCGGGGGCUUUAUUGCCCUGCCAAACACCUACAUCAUGGUGACACUUACAUAAUUACAUAUCGGACCGGCGAGGAUGAAGCGCCCGGCACCUCCUAAACGUGUCAACAUGAUUUGAGAGGUUUGGGUUUGGCUGGACUUCGUAGGCAUUAGAUUUCAGACUCCAAUCACACGGGCAUCCGGAGGAUCAAUAGCUGAGCACUGCGUGGCAGCUGGCUGCAAGGUGAGGGAGAGCAGCUCCGGGCGUCAGCGUGGCCGGUUAAGGUGAUGGAUGAGUUGGGUUUGGGUUUGGUCGCUCCUCCUCCUGCUGGGUCUUGUUCUGCCCUGCUGCAAAGAGGAAAUCUCAUGGGCAGACUCUGCAUCCUCACCCCGUGCCAGCAGUGCAGCUUCAUCAUGGAUGCUCCGUGACCCUCAUUAUGCAGCAGAGCACUUCCCAGCUUUACCAGUAAUCCCACUCUCAGCUCCAGCCACGUCACUCCGUGCUGGCAGCAAAUAGGUUUAGGGAAGAGAAAGCUGCUGUGACGCAGAUGUCUGCGGGCUGAGCUGCCUCUGACAGCACACAUGGAGGCUCUGACGGCGUUGCACCGCUGUCGGUGUGGGAAUGGGAUUUGGGGCCCUUCUGUGGCUUCUCACUGAUGUUGCGUGGGAUGGAGAUGCUCUGCUUUGGGCAAAUCUGCCCUUGCUGUGUGCUGUAUGAGUGCCCUUGAGAAAUGUGGGGGAAAUCACAGCAAUUUGGGUGAUUGAGUUUGGGUGGGUUAGGAAAGAACAGCGGAAUGCCUCAGACCAAAGCUGAAAUUGGGGAUUUUCUUGCAGACUCAUUGACUUGAACUCCUUUCAUGAAGAGCUGAGGUUGUUGCACUUGUUGGCACCCUCAGCUCUAACCAGUGACAUGUGACACGUGGGACCUCUUAGUAACCGCAUUUAAUUAAGUCAAUUUCAUUUAGUUAAUUAAAGCAUCCACUGAUUGCUUGUUAACCGUGCGCACACAGCUUCUGGGCAGCCCUGCUGCCCGCUCCUUUGGCCCUCUCUGUCAUCGGCCUUUGUCCUCUCCUGUCCCUCAGAUGAUGACAUCCAGCCCUGACUUUGCCGUCGUAGGUCUCCUCCUUGCUGCCUCCAAAGGACCGUGGUCCCUUUUUCCAUUAGGAAAGCAGCGUGUGCACACAGGUGACCUAUCUCUGCCCUGGCCACAUCUCACCCAGCUCCUUCAAAUUAAUUUCCCUGAUGGAGAAGCUCAGCAUCACACUGUCGUGCCUUCCAAUUCACACUCAGAUCAGCGCAGUGCUGGACCCACUUUGCAGCGAGCUUUGCAGCACCCGCCUGCAUUACCCAGCGCAACUUAAGGGGAAAACACCUGCAAACAAAUUGAACGUUCCUAAGUGCAAAUUGGUUUUGCAAUUGCUCGAGAUUUAAAGUGCCACUGCAGCAAAAUGAUGUUAUUUUUGGGGGGGGCAGACGUCUUUGGAAUACAGGUUGGUUGGAUUUGUCCUGUUGGAAGGGUUGGGUUCAGCCCAGCUCUUGGUGGGUUGGGUCCAUUGGGAUGCGCUGGGCUGCGGCACAUGGGCUGACCCCAGAACUGUCCCCAGUGGAGAUAAUCUGAUGGGUAGCGACGCUGCAGCGCUGUGCGAGGCUCUGUGCAGAGUUCAGCACUGCUCCAAACUUCCCCUUCUCCUCUGCGUGCUCUCUGCAGUCUUCAUUUCCACUAAAUCACCUCAAUUGGUUUCGCUCAGCGGUUGGAAAGCCAUGCUUGGAAUAUAAUGGUUGAUCUUUUAUGACAUUUACCGCCACUCAUGUCAGCGCGCGCGCCUGGUUAAUUCACUUGUUGCUAUGCCAUCCAUCAAUCACCAUAAAUGUUAUAACAGCAAUCUGUCACCGGGGGGGCACGCGUGGGGAGGUGUGCGAGGCGCAUUGGAUGGGGCUUGGGAAAUGAGUGACCCCUCCAUGUACUGGGGGGGAGUUGCCUGGAUCUGAGCAGUGCUGUGUGCUGUCUGUCCCAGUGCUGGGGCACGGGGUUUGUGCAGCAGCACGGUGCUCUCGCAGAUCGUUCUGCUGCUUGUCCCCUCACCCAGCAAGCUGCCCCCCUUCUUUUGGGGCGAGAGAGGCUUUGCGUGAGAUUUCAGACAGUGAAAACGUGGCUUAGUGGCAGUUUGCAUUCCCAACAGCCGGUGUAACAGCAGCCAUCAACAGCUAUGAGCCCGGCAGCAAAGCAGAUGAAGACAAAGUAGCCUCAGGUCUCACUUGUUGCCCUUUGCAAGUAAUUAUAUUAAUACACCUGUGAGCUCAUGUAAUAACAGAGAUGAGAUCUCCGCGACGCCCUGUUUGGGUGAAGGCAGGCUUGCGGGAGGUGUCUGAGAUUGCUUUCCCUGUGAAGAAACAGCAUUUUGAUUGAUCUCUCGGCAAAGAUAUGAAAACGCUCCGACUCGGUGCCACAUUUCCUUUUCGCUGUGACAUUUUGCAGGAGGGAACGAAUGGCACGCAGCCGUUCCCACGGUCCGGGUGACAUUACCAACAGCUCAGCAUCUCCUGCAGCACCAGCCGUGCUGGAGGGCUGACCCCCAAUGGAUGCUGGUGCUGAGCUAUGUGGGGCAGGGAUGGUCCUGGCUGUGGGUGAUGGCAGGUGAGCUGCUGGAGAUGGGUCAAGGCAUGCGUCAGAGCACAGCAUGGCAGUACCCCCCUGCAUCUGCUCCUCGUGACUUCAACACGGAAAGUGUUUUAGAUGCUCCUUUCCCUCCCUGCGUGGAGUUGAUGGCAACUCUAGUUAAAAGCUGAGAUGCUCAUGAAACACUUAUCGCCCCAAAGCUGUGUCUGCACUGCUCUCUGUUGCAGGUGAGGGGAUGGGAUCUCUUUGGGUCCUGUACUUUGGGAACCAGCAGGCAUUCUCCUUCCUCCACCAACCCCUGUGUGUGUGACUUAUUGGCCUCAAUGGAUCCCAGUUUCCACGUCUGUAAAAUGGCGUGACAUUUUCCUCCCAUGCGCUGAGGCUUUGCUUGCUCCUCUGGCCCCGCUUGGCUUUUAUUCUCCUCCCUGUAGAAGUGCUCAAAGGUGCUGGCCCACAUCAGGAGCUAAUGGGCAGCAUGCUCAGUGAGCAGGAACAGGGCUCUUCCUAUUAAACCACGAGCACGCAGGCAGCUCUCCAUUCCCCCGUUCCUCCCCCAUAAUCCCUCCUCCUCGCUUCCCUCUCCACCAUCCCCGGCAAUGCUCAGCUCCAAACACCGUUGCAGCUGUGAGCAAAAGAAGCAGCAGUGCUGGGAACAGACCCUGCGAGAGCUCAGCCCCAUGUUCCCGCUCUGCACCCCAACACUGCCCUUGCAAGCCGGGCAGCUGGGAGCUGAGCAUUGCCCUGGGAGGUGCUGGUUGGGCCCUACGUGCAGACGUGCAGCUUUGGGGCAGGACCAGGUGCUUUGUGCACUGCGGGUGUUCAAAGCAAAUCUGCAGCGCUCACAUCUGAGCAAUGGUCACCCGGUGAGAGAGAGGUGGUGGUGGUGGGCUCCAAUCUGGGGGCUCCAGUUCGGAGCUGGUUGCUGAAAGCCUUGAGCGUGAGGAUUUGUAGCAGAAAGGCUGCUGGAGCAGGAGCCUAGAGCAGGGUGAAUGGAGCUGCUCUAAUGGAUAUUAAGUGAUUUGCGAGCCCGCUGCUUGCAAACACAGCUGUAAAUAGAACAAAGGGAGGGGGUAGCAGAUGAAAGAGGCUCAGGCUCUUUAGCGGAGCAGUGUGAAAAAUGGGGAAAGGUUCCUGUGCAGGGCUCGGGCAGCGAGAGAAACAAAAGCCCCGGCAUCUAUUUUCAUAUCUUUUAUGUCUUCCUUGCACUUAAUCUUGUUUAGCUCUGCAAUUAAAUUUUAAGACGCAUAAGAGUGUUCGCUUACACACUUGGAUUCUUCGCAGAUUGAAUUAUUUAAUAGAGUGUGGAGCGGCUCCAUGAUCUCGGAGCUAUGGCACCAAAGGCAGCCAAGCAGAAAAUUAAUAAACACUGCCUGCCGUCUCCGCGCCUCCCGCGCUCCCCUCUGCAUCCUCCCUCUCCCUCUCCUGCUGCAGCCACCCCUCUGCUCCCAUCCCUUUCUGUUGGGGUUUCCUCUUUCCAUCCCACUGCCGUCUCCUCCCUCAGUUUUGCCACCUGCCCUUUCGCUGCUGUGGGAUCGAUGCUCUGUGCAUCUCAUCCUUGCAGCUCAAUGCCUGUGCACGUGUUCACUGUGAUUCGGGUCAUGCUGGGGAACACCCCAUGCCAGCAGUGGGGUUGGGUGGGAUCGGGCUGUGCCACUCUGUAAUUGCAUUCCUUGGCCCAGAAUAAAUCUCAUCUCAAAUGCUGCUGGAAUUCUCUCUCUCCUCCUUCAUUCUCCAGCCACCAAAGUUGAUCUUCUCUCCCCUCCUUUUUUUUUUCUUUUUUUUUUUUCCAGUAACCUUUCCAGGCAACAAAUUGCAGGGGGCAAUUACGCUGUUUGCUAAAGAGAGCAUUAAGCCAGCCACAAUUUCCAUAGAGGAUAUUGUGCAGCAAACUGAUACAAAAGCAGUCUAUGAAAUACAUCAAAUUGCCUGUUGGAUAAAGGCAUGCAUUUACAAUGCACUCGGAGCCCUUAUGAAUUAUCUGAAGAGAAAUCCGUUUGUUAUUUUUCUUGCUCUUAAGAAUCCCCAUUUUAAGUGGAACCAAAUAAAAAGGCAGGAAAAUUACCACUAGAGGAAAAGACUGGCCACUCCUUUGUGGGAGGUGAUGGUGGCUUCCCUCUGUUGAUUAUUGAAGGCAAUGUGUUUUGAGUUUGAUGGUUUUCAGUGCAAGUCUCCAUUGGUAUCUUUGUAGAAUCAUAGAAUGUUUGGGUUGGAAGGGUCCUUAAAGAUCAUAUUUCCAUGGAGUGGUUGGGUUGGAAGGGACCUUAAAGAUCACAGAACCAUGGGAUGGUUGGGUUGGAAGGGACCUUAAAGAUCAUAGAACCAUGGGAUGGUUGGGUUGGAAGGGACCUUAAAGCCCUGCCUCUGCUGUAAAAUGGGUGCCCCCCCUCCCAGCUUGGCCUUGGGCACCUCCAGGGAUGGGACACCCAUAGCUUCUCUGGGUAAUCUGUUCCACAGAGCCUCCUCUCCUGGUUGCUGCCCUUCAUGCUGAGUGGGAUGGCUGCUGAUAUAGCGCCUAUGGGGCAAACCAAAGCUCUGGCUGAUAAAACUAUGUGAGUUAAGCAGACUCCUACACCCCAGCCCUGUGCCCAAUGUAUUCCAAGCCAUCCACCGCCUCCUGGCUCAAAUCAAGAUUAAUUUUCAUCCUUUUCAGGGUUUUCUAUUUUUUCUGAAGCUGGACCCCACUCCACCCCAAAUCCUUUAGCAGCAGGGAGUGCCUGGAGCUGUGGGGUUGGGCAGUGAUUCUCGCCUGGCUCCGCUGCAGGAUGGAAAUAGUACUCGUGGAAUUGAAAUUCUGGAGGGAAUGACAGGGACACAGCAGAGAAGCAGCUAAAACACCUCUCUAAUUGCUAAUCAAUACCUUAAAGAAAUGUUGCCCUAGCUGAAAUCUGCUCCCAGGGAAAAAAAAAAUAAAAAUCUACACGAUUUGUUCCAUGAUUGGAAUGAGAUUUUAUUGGUCUGGUUUCUGCUGUUUUGGGGGCAUUUUUCUUCUUGUUUUUUUGUUGUUUGUUUUUCUUGUCCCUCCACCCCAUUACGCUCAGGUUUUAUGAAGUCAUCACCCAUUCCUCAGCUCAAAACCUCCGUGAGAAACUCUUGGCUCCGCAGACAGACCAACACUAAUCUUCUGUGUAAUUGAAUCAUCAUUGUGGAUAUUCUUUGGCUGCUUCGAAACAGUUCUGUUUCUCGAAUGCUGUCUACAGCGUGGCUCUUUAUUGAUGUGUUACGAGGAUUUCUGUCUUACUUUUAAAAAGAAAACAAAAAAUCCAGCACAGGCAUAUAGAGCAGAGGUUGCUGUCUCUCCAAGGAUGAACAAUUAAGGAACAUGACCAAGGGGAAUUUUCCUGGGCUUGGCUGUUCUCAAUCUCCUCAACCACACAUUUGCAGUUCAGUGGGUCGAUGACCAUUCCUUGGGCUUCUCUCCAUCCCUCCGUGCUGGGAAGGAGAACACAUGGCUGCUCCCUUGUGCAAGGCCUUUGACAUGGUCUGACACCUCACGCUAAGUUGGAGAGAUGGAUUUGAAGGCUGGACUGUUGGUUGGAGGAGGACUUGGUUGGGUGGUCAUAAUCAGUCGUUAUCAAUGGCUCUAUGUGUGGGUGGAGGUUGGUGAGGAGUGGUGUCCCCCAGAGGUCUAUCCUGGGACUCGUGCUCUGCAGUGACAUAGACAGUGGAACCAAGUCCACCCACAGCAACUUUACUGAUGACAUCAAGCUGAGGGGUGCAGUUGAUACAACAGAAAGAAGGGACGCCAUCCAGAGGGACCUGGACAGGUUUGAGAAGUGGGCCCAAAAGAGCCAAAUGAGGUUCAGCAAGGCCAAGGUGUUCCACCUGGGUUGGGGCAAUCCUGGAUGUCUUCAGGUGCUAGGAAAAAAAAAAAUUCUUUACUCAGAGGGGUUGAGGUGCUGGCACUGCUGCCCAGAGCUGUGGGUUCCCCAUCCCUGGAGGUGCCAAAGGGCGUCCCUGGUCUGAUCUUGUGAGGGGCAUCCAGCGGGGGUUUGAGACUCAAUGGUUGUAGAGGUCCCUUCCAACCUAAACCAUUCCACGAUUCUAUGAUUCCCAUCCCUGUGGCUCCCAUUAACCUCUCCUAAAACACAGCUGCAACCCAAAGCAGGGCUUGUCCAGGACUGGGUGAUUCCAACACCAGUUCUCCUGCUUUGGGGACUGCUUCUGCAUAAGAAGAGAGCCCAGAUCCACAUGUUGUGCUGGGACACACAGACGGUUUGUGAUGGCUUGGAGAGAAGAGUGAGGAAGGAGCAGGGGGGGCUCGGGCUGAGCUGGGGCCCCAGGAGGGAUUUGUGGGAUCCUGCAAUUGCCUGAAUUCAUUUCAAUUAUUGGCGGCGCUUCUCUACAGCACUAAAUAAAGUAAAAUAAAUACAGAAAGCAGAAGGCAAUAUAAAGCAGUUAGAGAGGAUCAGUGGUGAACUGAAUAAUUCAUUCAGGAGAGAAAAAGAGCUAUUUGCUAUGUCAUUCUUAUCUUGAUUGUAUUUAUAGACAGGAACUUUUGACAAGGAAAUUACCUGUAAAUUCUUCUUCUUUUAUUUUUUUUAUCCAUCCAUCCAUCCAUCCAUCCAUCCAUCCAUCCAUCCAUCCAUCCAUCCAUCCAUCCAUCCAUCCAUCCAUUCAUCCCAGCAAAUAAUCAGCAGGAAGACUUAUUGCAGGGUUUAUUUUCUUCUUCCUGAGGCAGUUUGAUGGAAUUGUAUGAAGAACACAAAAUCUCACGACCUCACUCUGAGCCCAGGGGAAGCUGCUGCUGUGAUAGAAAGCGAGAUAACGUUGGGUGGGAACUCAGGAGGGUGAGCAGCAGCGUUCCCCAGUGCCUCCAAGCAGGGAUGGAAGUCACACAUUUGUGUUUCCUAAGCUGCUGUGCACUGUAUUCAGAGCAAAGGCUGAGACUAUGAUGCUGCUCUGAGCUUCUGCCUCUCACCAGUGUUGAUGUGGGGUCUGUCCUUGCAAAUGGGUGUUCUGCAGCUUUGGGGACGACGAGCGACAGGAGAAGGACACACUGAGUGCCUCUGUGAGCACGGCUUCAGCACCUGCCAGAAGUGUCACUUUAUUCCUCAAGACUUUAUUUGGUGUGAAAGAUGGCUCAAGAAAAAAUGUAUCCCUACUGAGUUUAUUUGGCAGAGGGACACCGCGGGGCUACAGAAGUUUAUUUACUGCUCUCAUGCUGCAUAUUUGCUCUUUGUUUAUUGAUGGGGAGAGAGAUGGGGCCACAGGAGAGGGCUUUGCCCCCUGGUCCCCCCCAGAGGGGGUCAGCCCCCCAAGAACUGCCCAUGUGCUGAGAUCUGCUCCUGCUGCUGGUGCUUCAAUAGCAUCCAUCAAACCCACGGUGCAGUGGGCUGAGUUCUGUGCAGAGCAGCAGGGAUGGCUCUGCUGUCCUGGAGGCUCUUUGGGGUCACUCUUUGCUUUCUCACCCCACAACGCAACCCUGGAGAGACCUCACAGAAAUUCACCCUGGAGAAACCACUGUUCCUACAGAAGCCCUGCUUCUGCUUCCUAAUAGACAUCGAUGUAAUUUGUUUUCUGAGCAGCAUUGGGGAAAUGUGCAUUGCUCGCCGAACCUCCCAUUUGCAUUGAAGGAAGUCAUAAUUUGAGCGAAGCGUGAAACACUCACGGCAAACUUCUUGUCUCUGUGAGCGCACUGGAGCUCAGCCUCGUGUAUAAUUGAGUUGUUAUAAUGAAGUCUGGGUUUGGUUCUUCAAGAAGGAAUUUGUUUAGAAAAGAGACUCUCAACUUAAUUUAGAUUUCACGCUGUUUCUGAGCUGUUGCUGUCAGCGCUGUAGGUCUGGUGGGCCAAUUUGUCCCUGGGGUAAUUUUGGGGAUGUUGAGCGGUGCUGGGUUGGGAUGUGGCUCUCUGAGGAGCUUUAAUAUCUGGAGUCGGUCCCUGUGCAGCAAUCACAGUGCUGCAGAUGAUCCGAGCGGAGAUGGCAUCAGCCCCGAGCAGCGCUAUGCUGGGCUCUGACCCCGCCAGCUGCCAGGACCCUGAUGAUCUCCUGCCAACACCGCACAGCAACAGCCCGGGGCUGUUCUGUCCGAUGGACAUAGGGCUGGGAAAGGGCAGAGACAUCCCAGUUGGGCUAAUUCUGAGGUUCAUGGGAGAAAUGUGGGGGUGAAAGGCUCUGUCUCAUCACCUCCAUCCUAUCACGUCAGUUCCAUUACUUCUGUCCCAUCACCACCAUCUCAACAUCUCCAUCCCAUCAUGUGCAUUCCAACGCCUUCAUUCUAUCACCUCUGUCCCAUCAUUUUCACCCUAUCACCUCCAUCCCACCACCUGCAUCCCAACAUCACUGUCUCAUCACCUCCAUCCCACCACCUCUAUCCCAACUCAUCCAUCCCAUCACCUGCAUCCUAUCACCUCCAUCCCAUCAUCUCCAUCCCAACACCUUCAUCCCACCAUCUCCAUUUCAUCACUUCUGUUCUACCACAUCAGUCCCAUCAUCUCUGUCCCAUCACCUCCAUCCCAACACCUCCAUCCCAUCGCAUCCAUCCCAUUGCCUUCAUCCCAUCACUUCCAUCCCAUCUCCUCUGUCCCAUCACCUCCAUCCUAUCACCUCCAGGCUCUUUUUCUCUGCUCCCCUUUGAGGCAGUCCCUCUCCUGACGAGCAGCUGGUGAAUACUUUAGGGGCUCCAGAACGCAUUAACAUCUCUGAGCAAAUAUAAGAGCAACAAGCAAACAAGAUCCCUUUCCUUCUUCUGUGCGUUUUGGUUUUAAAUAUUACGUUUCCAGGGAUAAACGUUGGCAACACUUGAAAUAAAACGUAUUAAUUAAUGAACGAAGCACUUAAUUUAGGUUUAAUGGGAUAAUCCUUUCCUGCAUGUAACAUAAAUAGUAAUUGAAUAUUAAGAAUGCAUUGAGUGAGAAUUAACAACUGUGGGAGAGAGAGCUGCAUUUCAUUGCGCUCUUGUUAAACGCGUGGCCCAGCCUGGGUCUCUGGUGUAGGAGAGCUGGAUUCAAAGGCUCUGAAAGUCAAUGGAGAAACUGCUCUGAAAUGGGUUUGCAAAGCAGGGUGAGAAAAUCAGGAUUAGGCUUUUGUUCUUGUGAGAUUCACUGCCUGACCCGGAGCUCAGCUGAACAGAGGGCCCUCUUCACAUCGACUUCCAGAGCAUUUGGAUCAUUCAGCAGCUGAAAUCUAGCCAUCAUCCUAAACACAGCUUUAGGAGGAAUAUAAUAAUCACCGGUGUGGGGAAUUGGCAGGUGGGGAGGCAAAGGGUGCUUUGUUCCUUACCCAGGCAGUGCUAAGCAUUCUGUUCCCACUCUGCUGCUGGGAGAUAGCAGAGCCCCGGCCGGCUGCAGGACACGGACAGGCAGGCAGGGAAGUGCUGGGGGCCGUGCUGGAAAAAGGAAAAAUAAAGAAAAAAGAGUGAGAAAAAGUGGACGUUUAACCCAUCUGGAGUCCUUUGCGACAAGCUAUUGGGAUUUCUGUUAUGUCAGGGUUGGAAAGCAGCAGACCAAGCAAGGAGACACCGGCAAUGGGCAGGAGGGGAUGGUGGCAUCUCGGCUGUGCAGCAGAGCUGCAGUAGCACUCCAUGGGCCAUAAGUCCCCCCUGGUCACCCCUUCUCCUGCAUCCCCAUCUAUGACAGCUGCAGGCAGUGCAGUCCUGCAUCCUGCCUCGUGCUCUGAGUUGAAUCUGCCACCUUUCUUUCAUUGUGGGAUUUAUUUGUUGCCGCUCGCUCAAUUACAUUAUUGCAAAUUGUGAGUGAUAAAACCCUUAAAUUACUUAUAGCUCAUCCUUGUUUAAGAGAAUAAUUAGUGUAUUUCUAAACAGGGAGCAAUUCUUCUCAAUGGGAAACUUAGACUUAAAGGAUGCUUUCCCUGUAACUUACGCUAUGUAAAUAAUUGAUCAUUGAUUACACAAGAGUUUUAUGCUGUCUAGCCCAAAGACUCUCCCUCCUUCUCACGCUACGCUGCAGCUCUCCUUGUGCUGAGGAUCUCUGCAGGCUGGAAGUGCUGCAGAUCCCAUCUGGGGGUCUGCUCAGGGCCUUCCCCACGGUAGGGCAGAGAGCAACACAGUGUCCCCUACAUUCUGGUUCCUAAAUGCUGGCAGCAAACCUGGGGUGCUCCUACUGUGUCCCUGUGCCGUGACCCACCUGCAUGGAAACCCAGAGCUCACGUUCGCUCAACCACAUCCCAGCCUGGCAGCCUCAUUGGAAUUCUGGAGUUGAUCACAGAGUUUCUCCAGCUUUUAUUUUAAUUAUUUUUUUCCCCUGGCCAGAAAAACCGCCUCAAACCUCCGGCGUUUGCCCGUGUCACUGAAACCCAUACGAGUGAUUUAUGCAGCCGGCAGCAGGGAGGUUAUUUAGCUAUUGUUUUAAAAGCAGGUGCAAGGGAGCAGGAAUGGAGACAUAUUUCAUCCGUGCCUCAGCCUCUGCCACCUGGGAGAGGCUGGGAGACAGGUAGGGAGAGCUGCUCCCGUCCGUCUCCUGGGCUGGGAGGAGCUGGAACUGACAGCAAAUCUCAUGGCAGCGUUUGGACCAUCUCCAUGGCGCUGGGGAUGAUGUGCUGCACAUGGGGUUUGGUGGGAGGAAGCUGAGGGCCCCACAGCUGUGGGUCCCAGCAGGAGGAGCCUCUGCCCCUAUCCUUGCAGGAAACCCACGGCUGCUUUCUGUGCUGCGUGGUGAGGCAGAGCUGUGACUUCCAGCACAACCCAGUUCUCCCUCUACGUUAAUUAAACAGGACAGGAACACGG
ensembl:lncRNA